AUGUAUGUUAUUACCAUCAGGUAACAGGAAGAGCUUUCGUAAACCCUAGGUCCGACGAGUCCUGCAGCUGCUCAUGUCGACGCAGUGGCCUUCCUACUGCUCGCGCCCCUGUGGGUGGAAUGGCCAGGUAUUCCGAUGCAAUGGUGGCGUCUUACGGCGCGUGAUGUCUCCUCCUCGGUUACAUAACCCUAUGGCGAAAACCCUAGGUAGCUUGGGAUGGUGGUACAGUCCCGAGGCAGCAGUGACGUCGAGGAUGUGAUAUAGUGGGAUUCAGGAACGGCGACUACCUCCAUCCGCUCGGAGGACGCCAGGGAAAAGAAUGGCUACUACGGCCUGUAGUAAGACUAAAUUUAGAUUUGAACAAAUUGGAACCAAUGGAUGAAUUAAAUGAAGAGGUAGUAGUAUGCAAGAUGCGCUCCUCUUACUAGAACUAACUGAGGACAGGUUGUUGCAGAUUGCCGUGGCCGCCACAUGCUGGUUACGUUAUUGUCCCUGACCCAUCUGUUUGCUGUUUGCUGCUGCCGUGGCGUUUUUUUUGUGUGGAGAAAACCCUAGCGUCACUUACGUGCUCGUUCAUGGCUGGGUGUUAUGGUAGAGCCCAAGGUGGCGGUGAUGGCGCCGUACAUGAUGGGCGGCUCCUUCAUGAGGGCGCGUGGCAGGGCCGACAACUUCAUCCACUCGUCUGAUGAUGGGAACAAAGACAACUAGGAUGUUCUGGUACCACAGGGCUUUCGGUAACAUUUGUUUCUUCUGACUCUGAUGUUCUCAAUCAGGUGCAAGAAAGGUAAAAAGUUGACAUAAAUGACGUAUAUUGAACCCACUGGACGAAUGUACAUACUGUCUUGUUAUCAUAGAUCCAAGUGGUGAACUGGAUGUCUUGUUAUCAUAGAUCCAACUGUGCCAUCUUGAAGAUUCAAGUGAGCUACUUGAAAUGGAGACUAGGAGGGCUUGCUUCUUUGAUACAGUACCUGGCAUUUCUAUUGGAUGACCAUGUAAGGAGAGCCGAUGCCUCCCAGUAAGCAAAGGGCAUGGUGAUUAGCCAUGUCUCUGUUGGUGGUGUCGACAAUGGAGUCGGCGGGACGACCCUACCACAACUUCGCUGCAUCGUGUGGCCCCGCUGCCAUGUGGCAGUGGUAGGUCACCGCAACCACGACGGUGGCGGUGUUCUGCUUUGUCGACGACCCUAAUGGAACCUUGAGAUAUGAAGCUGAUAUAUCCGAUCCUGCAAUAGUAAUACUCAGUAGAAUUUCUUGACUACAUAUAAGGGCUUGUAUAUGACCAAGCACCAGUGGUGUACCGUGCCAUGCCGUGGAUGUUCAUAAUAACCAGGCAGCAGCAUUUUCUAAAGAUGGUGUCGUUGGAGCUCGCCUCCGGCCCGCCCUGCCCUGGCUGUUCGAGCAACGGUGGUUGCUGGCCACGGCUUAUGUGUAGUACUGUUCCAGUUCUUGUAUUGCUCAGUACUUGAAUUGUGUUGUCUGAAUCAGAAGUUGCAAGAAUAUAAAGGCUUUUUUAGGCGAUUACCGCAUGAAAGGUGAUUCAGACGUGAGCAUACAUGGUCCAGGAGAACACGAUUAGACAAAUUCUUGUGUUUUUAAUUAGUUUAUUUGUUGUUGUAUCGGACGAAAAGCAAGUGCAAACUCUGGUGACCAAUUAAGCAAGAAAUCAUAUGUAUAUAUUUUGAGGUUGUUGUUCUUACAAGAAGCCAAAAAUAAACAGUUGAACUGUACAGAUGGCAUUUCCUUCUCUCUGAUGGAUUGGAUGAUAUAUAAUCAGUUCUCUUUAUCAUUUUGUACGUAAACUAGUCAUGUAUCUGUUAAACAAGUCAAGUACCGUGCAAAAUGUUUGUUCCACUUUAUUUCUCAUGUUA